GCCGCUUUAGCUCAGUUGGCAGAGCACGCCCAUGGUAAGGGCGGGGUCCCGGGUUCGAAUCCCGGAGGCGGCUCUA
rnacentral:tRNA from 2 species